rnacentral:rRNA from 1 species
UCAGACGAUGCGUCAUGCAUAUCAAUAAGCGGAGGAAAAGAAACUAACAAGGAUUCCCUUAGUAACGGCGAGUGAAGCGGGAAGAGCUCAAAUUUGAAAUCUUCAAGGUUUUACCUUGACGAAUUGUAGUUUAAAGAAGUGUUUUCUGCUGAAGUUUUGGUAAAAGUUCUUUGGAAUAGGACAUCAUAGAGGGUGAGAAUCCCGUAUUUGACCAUUAUUUUCAGCUUUGUGAUACACUUUCAAAGAGUCGGAUUGUUUGGGAAUGCAGUCCAAAAUGGGUGGUAAAUUUCAUCUAAAGCUAAAUAUUGGCGAGAGACCGAUAGCGAACAAGUACCGUGAGGGAAAGAUGAAAAGAACUUUGAAAAGAGAGUUAAAUAGUACGUGAAAUUGUCAAAAGGGAAGCGUUUGACACCAGUGUUGUUUUCUCGAAAAUCAAUUAAAAAUGGCUCGAUUUUGUAUUGCUUGAGACCUUAAAAGCUCACUGUACAUUUUUCGUGUCUUUUUUAAUGCACUUUUCGUUUAACAAGUCAACAUCAGUUUCUUUUGUUGUAAAAGGGUCAUUGGAAGGUGGCUUUCUUUUCGGAGAAAGUGUUUAUAGCCUUUGGCCUCUGCAAUCGGAGAGACUGAGGUCUGCAGCGUAGACUCUUCGGGGUUAGAUACAUUUGUGCUAAGUUAUAGCUUUUUAUAGACAACUUGUUGACUAUAAUUAGUCUUGUAGCUUACUCGCUUAUGCUAUUUUACCUACGCUUAGGAUGUUGAACUACUGAGACAUAGA